CGACGCCCCAGGGAGAAGGGAAAGUAAACCUCUCAAGAGAAUGGAUGAAAGAGAGGAGGGAACUCCGCCAGUCCAAAGGACAAAAGUCUGGCGGCAAAGAACCAAGGGAAAUGUGAACCAGGUGAGCGCAGAGGAAGAGAGAAAUAACGAACUGUACUCGAGGGUGCAGUGCCCUGUGGCGAAGGAAAUCACCGUGACUCCGGAUAGAUAACCACGCAAGAGCACAUUCACCAUUGCAAACACAAAAGCAGGGGCGUGGGCUGGCUGGAGAAGCCGCUCUCAUCAGCGUCCCUUUUGUCUGGAGCCAGGGUGGGGUCCUAACAGAGAAUAACGGUUCUUUAAGGCUAACCUUCAUCUCCCCGGAAAGAAGUGAUCCUUAAAAAAAAAAAAAAAAAAAGAACUAGCUUCCUAACCACAUUAAACAGCCCGAGACUCUCCCACACCGCGGGCUGUGAUGUGAUUUUCUCCUCUCUUGAUCUCGUUCAUCCUUGAAACAACAGCUCCCCUGGGGGAGUUCUGGUCGCCAAGACUGUUAGAGGAGAGCAGCACUUCUUUUGGUCAGCUCAAGGUCACUCCCUGUAACGUCAGAGGUGGCAGCUCCUGGGGACCACAGAACUGAACAAUGACAUUUAUUCGUCUCAGUAGCAGUCCGUGUCCUUAAUCGGCCUGAACUUACAGGGAGGACUAUAUGGCUUCGUAGUCCCAUUGGAACUUAAACUUGAGGAUGUCGUUGAGAGACUCUUAAAAACACAUCCAGGAAUGAGUGCUUUUGCAAACAAUGAGGUUUGGCUGCAACGUAAUUCAUACGUAUUGUCACAUCCUAGGUAAAUGAAGAUCACUAGUGAUGUUCUUUUGUAAAAGUUUAAAAAUUCGGGGGAAAAAAAGGCGAAGGCUCGAGAUGGAACCUGGACCAGAGCGUUACAGCCAUAGAGAGCUUCAGUUGAAAGGGUCGCUGGGAGGAGCCAGAGCAGACCUCCUCCAGGAAUCUCUGUCUUCAGGGAGGCUUCCUCCAGGUCUGGUGGCCUCUUUGGUGUCUUGAGUUCAGUGGAUAUGAGCAUCUUUUUCUUAUUGACUAGGAAUACCAUCUAAUAAGUCAAAAAGUUCACUGUGUACCAGAACUUAAUUUUUAUUUAAGCAAGUCGUCUAAGUCAAUGCUCAUGACAAACACCAUUAAAACCAAGAGUAUUUGGUAACAGUUGGCUGCCAUUUGCUUUAUAGUAACCACAGGGCUGAUAUUCCUGAGGGCCAAUUAGUGUCUGAAGUAGAAUUCAAUGUCACGUGGUCGCCACUAGUGAGAAAAAAAAAGUGAGAAUGUCUGCUCUUCCUCCCUUGGGCAGGUCCGUUCCUGAGCAGCCUAUGAUGAUCUGGACCUCAUUCUGCUUACAGAACUUUAUUUUUGUUUAUUUUUUUGGUCUCCACCUCUGCCACAUACACUUAUGUUUGUAACACUCUGUCUUAGUAUCUUGUUUCUAGAAAACGUGUUGCUUGUUGUACGAGUCCUCCAUCUUUUCAUUUUCUUCACCUGUAUCAUAUUUUAGAACAAUUGUGAGGGUAUUGCCAGGUCUUUUUCAAUUAAAGAAAAUCCUCAUGA